UACGUAGGGGGCAAGCGUUGUCCGGAUUUAUUGGGCGUAAAGAGCGUGUAGGCGGUUAGGUAGGUCCGUUGUGAAAACUCGAGGCUCAACCUCGAGACGCCGAUGGAAACCAUCUGACUAGAGUCCGGAAGAGGAGAGUGGAAUUCCUGGUGUAGCGGUGAAAUGACGCAGAUAUCAGGAAGAACACCCGUGGCUAAGGCGGCUCUCUAGUACGUGACUGACGCUGAGACGCGAAAGCGUGGGGGAGCGAACAGG
rnacentral:rRNA from 1 species